rnacentral:rRNA from 1 species
UGCGGAGGGAUCAUUACUGAGUUUACGCUCUAUAACCCUUUGUGAACAUACCUAUAACUGUUGCUUCGGCGGGUAGGGUCUCCGCGACCCUCCCGGCCUCCCGCCUCCGGGCGGGUCGGCGCCCGCCGGAGGAUAACCAAACUCUGAUUUAACGACGUUUCUUCUGAGUGGUACAAGCAAAUAAUCAAAACUUUUAACAACGGAUCUCUUGGUUCUGGCAUCGAUGAAGAACGCAGCGAAAUGCGAUAAGUAAUGUGAAUUGCAGAAUUCAGUGAAUCAUCGAAUCUUUGAACGCACAUUGCGCCCGCCAGCAUUCUGGCGGGCAUGCCUGUUCGAGCGUCAUUUCAACCCUCAAGCUCUGCUUGGUGUUGGGGCCCUACAGCUGAUGUAGGCCCUCAAAGGUAGUGGCGGACCCUCCCGGAGCCUCCUUUGCGUAGUAACUUUACGUCUCGCACUGGGACCCGGAGGGACUCUUGCCGUAAAACCCCCCAAUUUUCCAAAGGUUGACCUCGGAUCAGGUAGGAAUACCCGCUGAACUUAAGCAUAUCA